AUGCGAUACUUGGUGUGAAUUGCAGAAUUCAGUGAAUCAUCGAAUCUUUGAACGCACAUUGCGCCCAUUAGUAUUCUGGUGUGGCAUGCCUGUUCAGAGCGUCAUUUCAACCCUUAAGCCCCUGUUGCUUAGCGUUGGGAAUCUAGGUCUCCAGGGCCUAGUUCCCCAAAGUCAUCGGCGGAGUCGGAGCGUACUCUCAGCGUAGUAAUACCAUUCUCGCUUUUGCAGUAGUCCCGGCGGCUUGCCGUAAAACCCCUAUGUCAUUCAGUGGUUGUACCAUAACGACUCAGGUAGGAAUGGGCCUCGCUGAACUUAAGCAUAUCAAUAAGCGGAGGAA
rnacentral:rRNA from 1 species